rnacentral:rRNA from 1 species
GAUGAACGCUGGCGGCGUGCCUAAUACAUGCAAGUCGAGCGAACAGACGAGGAGCUUGCUCCUCUGACGUUAGCGGCGGACGGGUGAGUAACACGUGGAUAACCUACCUAUAAGACUGGGAUAACUUCGGGAAACCGGAGCUAAUACCGGAUAAUAUAUUGAACCGCAUGGUCCAAUAGUGAAAGACGGUUUUGCUGUCACUUAUAGAUGGAUCCGCGCCGCAUUAGCUAGUUGGUAAGGUAACGGCUUACCAAGGCAACGAUGCGUAGCCGACCUGAGAGGGUGAUCGGCCACACUGGAACUGAGACACGGUCCAGACUCCUACGGGAGGCAGCAGUAGGGAAUCUUCCGCAAUGGGCGAAAGCCUGACGGAGCAACGCCGCGUGAGUGAUGAAGGUCUUCGGAUCGUAAAACUCUGUUAUUAGGGAAGAACAAAUGUGUGAGUAACUAUGCACGUCUUGACGGUACCUAAACAGAAAGCAACGGCUAACUACGUG